CCUACGGGAGGCUGCAGUCGAGAAUCAUUCACAAUGGGGGAAACCCUGAUGGUGCGACGCCGCGUGAGGGAAUGAAGGUCUUCGGAUUGUAAACUCCUGUCAUGUGGGAGCAAAUUAAAAAGAUAGUACCACAAGAGGAAGAGACGGCUAACUCUGUGCCAGCAGCCGCGGUAAUACAGAGGUCUUAAGCGUUGUUCGGAAUCCCUGGGCUUAAAGCGUGCGUAGAAUGUUUCGUAAGUCGGGUGUGAAAGGCGCGGGCUCAACCCGCGGACGGCACAUGAUACUGCGAGACUAGAGUAAAGUAGGGGGAACCGGAAUUCGCGGUGUAGCGGUGAAAUGCGUAGAUAUCGAGAAGAACACUCGUGGCGAAGGCGGGUUCCUAGACAGUAACUGACGCUGAUGCACGAAGGCCAGGGGAGCGAAAGGGAUUAGAUACCCCUGUAGUC
rnacentral:rRNA from 1 species